AGUGAACGCUGGCGGUAGGCCUAACACAUGCAAGUCGAACGGCAGCACAGUAAGAGCUUGCUCUUACGGGUGGCGAGUGGCGGACGGGUGCGGAAUACAUCGGAAUCUACUUUUUCGUGGGGGCUAACGUAGGGAAACUUACGCUAAUACUGCAUACGACCUACGGGUGAAAGCAGGGGAUCUUCGGACCUUGCGCGAUUGAAUGAGCCGAUGUCGGAUUAGCUAGUUGGCGGGGUAAAGGCCCACCAAGGCGACGAUCCGUAGCUGGUCUGAGAGGAUGAUCAGCCACACUGGAACUGAGACACGGUCCAGACUCCUACGGGAGGCAGCAGUGGGGAAUAUUGGACAAUGGGCGCAAGCCUGAUCCAGCCAUACCGCGUGUGUGAAGAAGGCCUUCGGGUUGUAAAGCCCUUUUGUUGGGAAAGAAAAGCAGCAGGUUAAUACCCCGCUGUUCUGACGGUACCCAAAGAAUAAGCACCGGCUAACUUCGUG
rnacentral:rRNA from 1 species